GGCAGCACGGGCUUCGGCCUGGUGGCGAGUGGCGAACGGGUGAGUAAUGCGUCGGAACGUGCCGAGUAAUGGGGGAUAACGCAUCGAAAGGUGUGCUAAUACCGCAUACGCUCUGAGGAGGAAAGCGGGGGACCUUUGGGCCUCGCGUUAUUCGAGCGGCCGACGUCUGAUUAGCUAGUUGGUGGGGUAAAGGCUCACCAAGGCGACGAUCAGUAGCGGGUCUGAGAGGAUGAUCCGCCACACUGGGACUGAGACACGGCCCAGACUCCUACGGGAGGCAGCAGUGGGGAAUUUUGGACAAUGGGCGAAAGCCUGAUCCAGCCAUGCCGCGUGAGUGAAGAAGGCCUUCGGGUUGUAAAGCUCUUUUGUCCGGGAGGAAAUCCCGCAACCUAAUACGUUGCGGGGAUGACAGUACUGGAAGAAUAAGCACCGGCUAACUACGUGCCAGCAGCCGCGGUAAUACGUAGGGUGCAAGCGUUAAUCGGAAUUACUGGGCGUAAAGCGUGCGCAGGCGGUUUGAUAAGUCAGAUGUGAAAUCCCCGGGCUUAACCUGGGAACUGCGUUUGAAACUGUCAGGCUAGAGUACGUC
rnacentral:rRNA from 1 species